rnacentral:rRNA from 1 species
GACGAACGCUGGCGGCGUGCUUAACACAUGCAAGUCGAACGGAAAGGCCUCUUUCGGGGGGUACUCGAGUGGCGAACGGGUGAGUAACACGUGAGUAACCUGCCCUUGACUUUGGGAUAACUUCAGGAAACUGGGGCUAAUACCGGAUAGGAGCUCCUGCUGCAUGGUGGGGGUUGGAAAGUUUCGGCGGUUGGGGAUGGACUCGCGGCUUAUCAGCUUGUUGGUGGGGUAGUGGCUUACCAAGGCUUUGACGGGUAGCCGGCCUGAGAGGGUGACCGGCCACAUUGGGACUGAGAUACGGCCCAGACUCCUACGGGAGGCAGCAGGGGGGAAUAUUGCACAAUGGGUGCAAGCCGGAUGCAGCAACGCCGUGUGCGGGAGGACGGCCUUCGGGUUGGAAACCGCUUUCGCUCAUGACGAAGCUUUGCGUGACGGUAGUGGGUAAAGAAGCACCGGCUAACUACGUG